rnacentral:rRNA from 1 species
GACGAACGCUGGCGGUAUGCUUAACACAUGCAAGUCGAACGAGACGAGAUGGAAGUGCUUGCACGGAAAUCUUAGAAAGUGGCGAACGGGUGAGUAACGCGUGGGUAACCUGCCCUAUGGAAAGGAAUAGCCUCGGGAAACUGGGAGUAAUGCCUUAUAAGAUACAUUUGUCGCAUGGCAGAAGUAUUAAACGCUCCGGUGCCAUAGGAUGGACCCGCGUCCCAUUAGCUAGUUGGUGAGAUAACAGCCCACCAAGGCGACGAUGGGUAACCGGUCUGAGAGGGCGAACGGUAACACUGGAACUGAGACACGGUCCAGACUCCUACGGGAGGCAGCAGUGGGGAAUAUUGCGCAAUGGGGGCAACCCUGACGCAGCAAUACCGCGUGAGUGAAGAAGGUUUUCGGAUCGUAAAGCUCUGUUAUUGGGGAAGAAAAAAGACGGUACCCAAGAAGAAAGUCCCGGCUAACUACGUGCCAGCCGCCGCCGUAACAC